AUAUUUUCCUCUCUUUCCUUCUUCUCUCUCUCUCUCUGUUUACAUAGUUGUAGUUAUACUGUAUACAUUACUUUGUACUCUACUUUAUUUCACUUAACAUGACAACAUAAGCAUUUACCCACAUCAUUAAAACUCCCUGGUACCGAGAGCCCAGGUCUAUUUUUAUAGAGAAGCUUAAGUGAUUCUCAGUGGGCUCUGCUACCCAGCCUUAAUCACACAAAGACAAGUUAUCAGGUUCUCUCCAAAGUCCUGGCCUGCCGCUUGCCUACUGAGCAGGAAGCAGAACUAAGGCUGUCAUGGAGAGGAAGGACAGGCCAAAUACUGUUUGGCUGCCUGCUCCCUCCCACGAGCCAGCCUGCAGCCUGCUAAGUAAGGGGCCCUGCUGAUCCAGAAUUCUUUCUUGCAGAAACACAUACUGGCUUUGAACCAAGGAGGCAGGCUCACUGCUGCAGCAGCCCCAGGGGAAAAAUCCAGACACAGAAUAAAAAAGUAAACUAUGCCAGUGACUGUAUGGCAGUAUAGCAGGAUUGCUCAUCUUAAUUUCCAGAAAAGCGUCAUCCUAACUCACAGGCAAGACAAAGGCUGCCCAGCAGCCUUUACCCCUACUUUCCACACGGUGAGUGCACUGGAGGUUUCAAAAAGCCUGCGGACUAAGACCAGGAGAACAGCAGACACAGCCCACUGGGAAGCCCAUGAUGUUGACCCCAGAGUGGACUUGUGGACUCGUCAACUCGGGCCAGGCUCCUGGCUCGCAGGCAGAAGGGACUUGCCUUGUCUCAAAUGAGACUUUGGACUGUGGACUUUUGGAUUAAUGCUAAACUCUGCCUAUGUGUGCAUGCAACAAGGUGAUUGGGAGGUCAUCCAGCAAGGUUUGUAAGAGCAAAAGACACAAGUCAGCCAGGAUCCUUCCACAGAGACUGAUGAACCAAGCAUAGUCCGUCUUGACACAGGACUCUCACAGCUGAUAAAGAAAGGGGAAGCUUUCCAUAUGAUAUGAAAAGUUCUCAGACAUAGUAAGUGAAAAAAAGCAAGUCAAAAAAAAAGUGUGCCGCCUUUGGUGCAAAAUGGGGGAAACGUGAAUGUAUUUCUGCAUGUUUAUGUUUGCACAAUGAAAUUCUGAAGGAUAGACUGAUACAAUGAAAUUAAUUACCCGAUUCAAGAGGUGAUUGACUAGGAAUGUGUAGUCUGAAAAGGCUAACGAUAGAAAAGCAGACAAAAUUAAGCUUUUCCUCACCAAGAACACAGAAGCAAACAUUUCCCAAGGAGCAAUUAGGAAAGAAGAAUAAAUAGUGGGUUUUGUCUUUAAAUGACAUUUAUCUAGAAGUUUACACAGCUGAGGAAGGGCAAAGGAAAAAUGGAGCUAAGGAGAACUGGCAAAGAGAAGGCAGGGCUCAGAGCCUUAUAGGAAAUGAAAGAGAAGUCAUUGCGCGACUGAGAAGUCCACACGGAGAGGCACUGUGGUUUCGUUUGAAAAGGAGGAGAAAGUGCAGUAGCAGAGACUCAACCUAGUGGUGUAAAUCUUCCCAGAAAGGCCUGCAGGCUAUGAUGCGGUGCUGUGUGGUUCCAAGGCUGAAGGCAGCAGUCAGGAGCGUUCGAGACCAGGAGAUAUCCAGGAGGAUGAGACACAGCUGCUCAACCGGACUGCAGCCACACACAUACAAGCAGCAAUGAACAACC
ensembl:lncRNA